GAUGAACGCUGGCGGCGUGCCUAAUACAUGCAAGUCGAGCGAACAGACGAGGAGCUUGCUCCUCUGACGUUAGCGGCGGACGGGUGAGUAACACGUGGAUAACCUACCUAUAAGACUGGGAUAACUUCGGGAAACCGGAGCUAAUACCGGAUAAUAUAUUGAACCGCAUGGUUCAAUAGUGAAAGACGGUUUUGCUGUCACUUAUAGAUGGAUCCGCGCCGCAUUAGCUAGUUGGUAAGGUAACGGCUUACCAAGGCGACGAUGCGUAGCCGACCUGAGAGGGUGAUCGGCCACACUGGAACUGAGACACGGUCCAGACUCCUACGGGAGGCAGCAGUAGGGAAUCUUCCGCAAAGGGCGAAAGCCUGACGGAGCAACACCGCGUGAGUGAUGAAGGUCUUCGGAUCGUAAAACUCUGUUAUUAGGGAAGAACAAAUGUGUAAGUAACUAUGCACGUCUUGACGGUACCUAAUCAGAAAGCCACGGCUAACUACGUG
rnacentral:rRNA from 1 species